UACGUAGGUCCCGAGCGUUAUCCGGAUUUAUUGGGCGUAAAGCGAGCGCAGGCGGUUAGAUAAGUCUGAAGUGAAAGGCUGUGGCUUAACCAUAGUAUGCUUUGGAAACUGGGAAACUUGAGUGCAGAAGAGGACAGUGGAACUCCAUGUGUAGCGGUGAAAUGCGUAGAUAUAUGGAAGAACACCAGUGGCGAAGGCGGCUGUCUGGUCUGUAACUGACGCUGAGGCUCGAAAGUAUGGGUAGCAAACAGG
rnacentral:rRNA from 1 species